rnacentral:lncRNA from 1 species
CAUAUAUAUUCUUGUAUGGACAAUACAACAAAUCAAAUGAAAUGUAGGUAAAGUCCCGGGGGGUCAUCACCACCCCCUCCUGUUUGAAUACUUGUAAAUGGUGGAGAUCUCCACUCGUAAGCCAUAUAUAGUCUUGUAUGGGACAAAAAAUCUAAUCAAAUGAACAUGGGACCAUAUGAAUGGCGAGUUAUAGGAGCUUUGUUUGGGAGACUUCGUAACAGCAUCCUGUUACAAUUACUUCUUGUUAAUAUUACUUUU